UGGGCGUAAAGCGAGCGCAGGCGGUUAGAUAAGUCUGAAGUUAAAGGCUGUGGCUUAACCAUAGUACGCUUUGGAAACUGUUUAACUUGAGUGCAAGAGGGGAGAGUGGAAUUCCAUGUGUAGCGGUGAAAUGCGUAGAUAUAUGGAGGAACACCGGUGGCGAAAGCGGCUCUCUGGCUUGUAACUGACGCUGAGGCUCGAAAGCGUGGGGAGCAACCAGGAUUAGAUACCCUGGUAGUCCACGCCGUAAACGAUGAGUGCUAGGUGUUAGACCCUUUCCGGGGUUUAGUGCCGUAGCUAACGCAUUAAGCACUCCGCCUGGGGAGUACGACCGCAAGGUUGAAACUCAAAGGAAUUGACGGGGGCCCGCACAAGCGGUGGAGCAUGUGGUUUAAUUCGAAGCAACGCGAAGAACCUUACCAGGUCUUGACAUCCCUCUGACCGCUCUAGAGAUAGAGCUUUCCUUCGGGACAGAGGUGACAGGUGGUGCAUGGUUGUCGUCAGCUCGUGUCGUGA
rnacentral:rRNA from 1 species